rnacentral:rRNA from 1 species
UACGUAGGUGGCAAGCGUUGUCCGGAUUUACUGGGCGUAAAGAGCGCGCAGGCGGUCGUUCAAGUCGCGUGUGAAAGCCCCCGGCUCAACUGGGGAGGGUCACGCGAUACUGAUCGACUCGAAGGCAGGAGAGGGUAGUGGAAUUCCAGGUGUAGCGGUGAAAUGCGUAGAUAUCUGGAGGAACACCGGUGGCGAAGGCGGCAUCCUGGACCGGCAUUGACGCUGAGGAGCGAAAGCCAGGGGAGCAAACGGG